AGACCACAGGCCCGUAUCUCUGACUGGUGUCUGAAAAACCAAACCAGAGGCAGACAGACACAAACAUUAAGUGUUUGCGCAAGCUAAAGAAGAAUCUAAACGAAGAGUUUCAUCUCCUGCACCUGUUACAAUUGUCUGCAAGAGGCCAUUUAUGAGACUCUAAAAGAGGCCAUCGAUAUGAAACAAGUAGCAUUAAAAGCAUAUUCAAAUACCUGACCGUCGGGAGACAUUGCAAGGGCUCAAGGAAAAACCUGGCUUCCAGUGUCGACACACUCCAACUGGUGUCCAUUUGCAGUGUUCCAGAAACGAAUGCAUCGAUCAGCAGUUCCACCACCUGAUGCAAGAAGACCACUCUGGUGGGGUGACCAAGCAAUGGCCUUAACAGCUGCUGUGUGCUCAGUUAGUCUCAACACAGGCUGCUGAGAAUGCUGAUUCCAUACCAAAAGCUAUUGAUACCCAACAAAAAAUCUCGUGUUAUUAAAUGAUCAGAUCAAAGAAAGAGGCCUCUUUGCAGGAUGGAUAUCUAUAUAUCUAUCUAUACCUGAUUGUCAUUUCCACCGGAGGCAAGCUCUCUGUCAUCGUUUGACCAUUUAAGUCCACAAACCUGCAGUAGUGCUUACAGGAAUUGAUAAAAGCUUCCAAAGUCCAGUUAUUCAAUCUGCAGGGAAAUUUUCUCAUUCUCACCUCAGAUUUAUGGCCGACGAGCUUGUUCACAAACUCACUAGAAACCCGGAGAUCAUGUUGAAGAAUGUUACGGUCUCUGCUUCCAGAAGCUAAAAUCCGAGAAUUCCACGACAAAACACCUGUUCUUGUUUGAUGUCCUCCCAUGGUUCUAACUUUCUUGCACUGACUUCCAUCCCAUAUCUAUUCAUUACAAUGGAACAAUAUGAAAAGAUAUGAUUUUUUUUUCCUGAAACACGAGCUCAACACCAAUCUUUAUGUUC